UACGUAGGGUGCGAGCGUUAAUCGGAAUUACUGGGCGUAAAGCGUGCGCAGGCGGUGAUGUAAGACAGAUGUGAAAUCCCCGGGCUCAACCUGGGACCUGCAUUUGUGACUGCAUCGCUAGAGUACGGCAGAGGGGGAUGGAAUUCCGCGUGUAGCAGUGAAAUGCGUAGAUAUGCGGAGGAACACCGAUGGCGAAGGCAAUCCCCUGGGCCUGUACUGACGCUCAUGCACGAAAGCGU
rnacentral:rRNA from 1 species